UCUGCCACGAGAAAUUUAUUAUUAUAACGUAUCGCUCUCGGUUGCAAAAUACGAGGUAACGGUCGCCUUCGAAAGAAUAUUUGUGCAGAUUUUUAACCGCCAAGUGCAUUUACUAGCCUAGCAAUAUGAGUAAACCUGGCAGUGCUCCUCCGCAGUUCACCUAUGUGCCGCCCCCUUCGGCCCCGCCCUCUUACCAGGAGGCGGUGGGCGGGGUGAAACCCGUGGGUCCAUAUACGCCAGUGGUGGCGCCCGCAACCAACGCAAAUACCACAAUUGUGACCACGGUUGUGCCCAUUAGUCGCACUUCGACGCACAUGAUCUGUCCAUCGUGCCAUGCCGAGAUCGAGACGACCACGCGCACCGAGCCCGGAAUGAUUGCCUACUUGUCCGGAUUUUUGAUUGCCCUGUUCGGUUGCUGGCUGGGAUGCUGCCUAAUACCUUGCUGCAUCGACGACUGCAUGGAUGUGCAUCACUCGUGCCCCAACUGCCGCGCAUAUUUGGGGCGAUACCGUCGAUAGGAUCGAUUGAAUGAGCAGGUCCAGCGGUUCCGUGGUGUAGAUUGAUUACUUUAACGAAGGCAGAUGGAAAGAGCCAAGGCUUCCCUUAAUCUAACGCUAACUCGCUAAAUUGCUCCGCCGUUUUUCAUUUUGGUUCGCAAAAUCCUUAAUUGUUUCGUGUAUGUUUCUGCCACGCUAAAGAUAGUAAUACAUUAAAAUAUCCAGCGCUUCGCAGACAGGACAGCCACUACAAAAACUUAAAUAAUAAAUCCGCCUUUCUACGUACCCAUAUAUGUAUGUACUACCCUGAUUACGAGCACAAAAGUCGCUUGUACGUCCAUUUUGAAGAACAGGCCCUUUAAUAUUUGCACAAAUUGUAAAUCUUUUGAAGACCAUCUUAGGUUUUUCGCACAUUGUUUGAUGAAUAAAUGGCUUAGAAUGUAGUCAAAAAGACAAAAUACAACAUAUUUUUGUAACAAAACGUAAAUGUCUUCAGCAAAAGUGCAUAUUGUGCAUACUAUGGAAGUUAAUCUCCCUAAUAAUUAAUCAUGAAAUCUAUA
rnacentral:misc_RNA from 1 species